AGGACGAACGCUGGCGGCGUGCUUAACACAUGCAAGUCGAGCGACGCUCCUCCUUCGGGAGGAUGACGGAGCGGCGAACGGGUGAGUAACACGUGGGCAACCUGCCCCUAGCUCUGGGAUAACCCCGGGAAAUCGGGACUAAUACCGGAUAUGAAGUCGGACGGCAUCGUCUGACUUGGAAAGUUUUUCGGCUAGGGAUGGGCCCGCGGCCUAUCAGCUUGUUGGUGGGGUAACGGCCUACCAAGGCGACGACGGGUAGCCGGCCUGAGAGGGCGACCGGCCACACUGGGACUGAGACACGGCCCAGACUCCUACGGGAGGCAGCAGUGGGAAUAUUGCACAAUGGGCGAAAGCCUGAUGCAGCGACGCCGCGUGAGGGAUGACUACCUUCGGGUUGUAAACCUCUUUCAGCAGGGACGAAGCGAAGUGACGGUACCUGCAGAGAAGCACCGGCCAACUACGCGCCAGCAGCCGC
rnacentral:rRNA from 1 species